rfam:Heterocephalus glaber contig88027, whole genome shotgun sequence.
UGGCGCCCAACGUGGGGCCCGAGAACGGGGGAUCCAGUGAAGAACGGCUGCUCGGGGCCCAAUAAAAUAGAAAAAAGAGGAUUGCGUUUGACGUGAACCUGCCAUCUUUCCUGCACCUCAGUGAGUUAAGCAGCAAUUAUGGGACAGGAGAUUAGCCAACAUGAGUUGUUUGUAGAAGAUCUAAAAAAAAAAACUUUACAGGCACGAGGGGUAAAGGUUACAGUCAAACAGUUGUUAAAAUAUUUUGAUUAUAUUAGAGAUCUCUGCCCUU